UCAUAUCCUUAACUCAAAGGAUUUAUAAGUUCAAUCUUGACUUUACACUAGCUCUAGUGUUCUGUACAUCACUUUAUGUUGCAAACUCAUGCAAUCACAUUCUUUACAUUUUCAUUUCUCUUGCUAACUCUAGCAUUCUUGUUCUUAUUGCCCCAUUUUACUUUAACUUUACACGUUAUCACUUUCUUCAUUCUUUACAUCACUUUAGUUCUUUACAUCACACUAACUCUAGUGUCAUUUCACAUUAGCUUUAUCGAAUGCCACUCGAUCUAGGUCAUUGUGUCACUCUGUUCUUUUGCUCACUUUGGGUGCUCAUAUUUUCUCUCAUGCAUACAUCUAGGGUUUUGACAUUCAUAAGGUUCUCAACCGUCAC
rnacentral:lncRNA from 1 species